rnacentral:lncRNA from 1 species
AUUACAAUUGUAUUUGAAACUAUGUUAAAAUUUGUUAAAUAAUAAAAAAUAGUUUUCAAAUUAGUUGGAGAAACAGCUUGGAAAUUAGUUUUCAAAUUAGUUGGAGAAACAGCUUGAAAAAUCAUUACAAAUUAGUCCAAAAUUUCUUUUUCAAAUUUAUACUCGAAUGAAAUGUAUUUUAUAAUUUAUAUAAAAUAUAUACAGUAAUACAAUUCUUUAUAGUUACUUAAUGUCUAUAAUAUAUAUUCUAAUAAUUUGAAAUCUCAUAGUUCAAAAAUAUUAACAUUUUACAACUCAUUUUACCCCCCUCGAUCCCCUCUUUUGAAAAAGGUGGGGGGGGAGGUAAUACUGUUUUACCUCUGUCUGUCAAUCAAGCCAUCAGUUCAUCAGUCCGUCCA